UACAAGCGAAUGACUUUGAAUAGGUUUG
rnacentral:piRNA from 1 species